CUUAAACAGUGAUCCACAGCUGCUGCAAAUUGAUUUAUCCCCUGAUGACAGUCAGUUGCUGAUGGAGUUGCUGGAGAGAAAGAGUUCUUCAGUUCAGGAUCUCCCUGGAGCUGCUCCUUACUCUCUCCAUCUUACUGUGUGCUAUGAAGGCCUGAUGCUGCCAGGGACCACGCACCUUUUGGGAUGCUUGGCACUGAAAUGCCCAUGAAGCCCUUACUGUUAAUCAAGAGAGGGAGAUUAGAGGAGAUCAGAACUACCAGCCUGAAGAGCGCUUUGCAUUUGACUACACCUUUCUAUCAGCAUAUGUUUUUCUUCUGAUAUUUCUGCAGGGAGUUCUCCAGGUAAAGGAAGAGCUGCUUCAACUCAGAGACACAACGACCAAACCACUUGGCAGUGGGCACAAAAAACGGAGACUGAACACUAAGAAACUGGUAAGAAAUGCAGAAUGCACAAGGUUCAAUUUUUGGGAUCCUCUCACAGCCUGGCAAGACUCCUGCAUUUUCAAAUGCUCACAUAGCUGCACUUGCUGCUUCACUGAAAAUAAUAGUACUGUGCUAAACAGCAUCAUCGUGGGAUCACUUAUGGGAUUUAGUUGUGUUUAAGGGGUGAAGGCGAGGAUACUGCAAAGUGAAAUCCUCCAGUGCAAAGAAAAUAAGGCAAUGAAGACCACUUCCAAACCAUUCAUCACAGAGCUUUUGCAUGGGCUUCAUAUGCUGCCGUUGUCACUCUGGAAUUGCUGGAUCAGCUUGAAAAAAAUGAAGCGUGUAGAGGUCCUCGUAACAGACAGAAAAGGAGGGGUUUGUGGGAUGAGGCGCAGGCAUGAAAGACACUGGUGGGAGACAAAAACGACAACUGGAUUACAGCUGCCUGCUGGGCAAAUUGCUGGCUGAAAGGACGUCGCUGCAUAUACAGAUGCCUCAGCAUCUACAGUCGCUGUAUGGAUUUCUCUUUCCAGAAGGCUGCUUACCCCAGCUUCCGUUCUGCACAGCUACAAAGGGAGCAGAAUGGCAAAAGGAGCACAGUCCCAUGCUCCCAAACACACCUCCUAAACACCCAUGGGCAGCAGCGCCAGGGAGCAUCAAGUUGUUCCCAGGAAGCAGUCAUGGCUCUGGGUUGUUAGUGACUGCUGCACGUUGGCUUGGUGGUCAUUUGGCAUUGGCGGCCCAUGGCACUGAGUGCCACAGCACUGCGCAGCUGAGUGUUGGAAGUCCCCACUGGCAAUAUCAUGCUCUCUGCUCCAUCUAUGGAGAUGGAUGAGUCCAAGUGGAUCAGCACAUCCUCAGGCACAAAAUCUUUGCAUGAGCAAUGCUAAGGAUGGAGGCUGAAAGAAGAUAGAAACACCCAUCUCUGUUUGAAAGGCAGAACUUCUAGUGAAGCCAAGCAAAAUCUCAUAACCCCAGGGAAACCCUAGAGCCUCCUUGCAGCUCAGCUGACAUCCAGAUAUUUAUGGGCCGUGUAAGAAGAUUCAGGCCACUUUAUCUGCAUCCGCUUUCCUAUUUCACCGUUUCUUUGUGGCUGCUCAGCUUUGAUGGCAAUAUGCUGUUAAACUGCCACUCACUCAGCCUUUUUUUGUGUGCCUCCUUGCCUGGCUUCCAGUCAGUGGUCUUUUCCAUAUCCUAUUCCUAUUCCUCCUGCGGAACUGGGACCAUCUCAUGCUGUCCAAAUCCGAGCACUGGGCUGCUAAUAGACACCGCUGAUGUACAAUGGAAGAGCUUCUCCAUAACUCCCUAUCACUAAUCAGUGAGCAUGUUUGACAUCCCGGCAGUGCGGUGCUUCACAACAGCUAUCGAUAGUGCUUCCCCGUGCUGAAGGAAAAUGGGAACCUGCAACACUGGCAUUACAUCACAGGCAGUGGCUGGUUAUUGAUGUCAUCAUUCCUGUCACUUGCCUGAUAUAUACUGCCUGCAGUGACUUACCUCCGAUCUAUAGAGGCUGGCUCCUGGAGGUCUGCCUUCCAGUUAGCAGCGCCGGCGAGCAGCAGCACCUGUGUCUCCACGCCAGACAGCUGGCACGCUCCAUGCAUGCCACCGCGCACCAUCUGUGCCACACAUCACGUGCCAGUUACGUGACUGGGGAGAGUCAGGAGGAAGAAAAAUAUUUGCUUCCAUGAAUCCUCCUACUGAGUAAAGUUCUGUAGCAGAAGUUUUCCAGUUCCUGAGGAUGCUGCUGACUGCCUUUCCUUGCUUGCUUAAGUCUCCACAGUGCUGAAAAUGAAGUCCAAGAUGUGUGUUCUGCACGUUUGCCAUUGCAACUCGAGGAGACAGAGCUCAGAUGAAGUUCCAGCUAGGCAAGAGACCAAAGUUCACCCUACCCACAGCACUGCAGAUUGCUGCACAGCCCCAUCUUUGUGCACUGGAGAAGCAAAGCACGCGAGGAGGGAGCGCGCUCCCAGCUGCCAGGGGCUGACAACCGAAAGGUGCAAUAUGGGACAAAGCAGAGCACAGAGAGUGAUGUGGGAACGUUAACACUUGUAAGCUAACAGAUGUGCAGGAAUGUCCUCGGCUCGCCAUCGCUUUUCUCUCCAGCAGAAUAUGACUGACAACAGAACACCAGGGAACAGCUGGGUCGAAACGCAUAAUAUUUUCCUGCUAGAGAAGGACGCUGAUUAGGCUGCGGAGUACCUAAUUGGGUCUUGGCCUUGAAUGAUGGAAAACUAAAGCCAGGAGGAGCACACCAAUGAGCAGCACCAUGUUACCAGCAGAGGUCCGGUGGCUGGAGGAGCGGAACAUUAGCACAUCCCUAAGGCCAGGAAGUUCAUAUGAAGUUUCUGAACCUCCACUUCGGCCCUUAGGGAGAAACAGCCCGGAAAUAAGAUGCGGACAAUGGCAGUUCCAACCCAACCCAUGACCUCUGCCUUGAAACAUGGUGGGUCAGCCAGGAGGUGAGGAGGUGGGGUAAAGCAGAUGAGCUGGAUGAGGAAUACGGUGACAAACUAACUGGUGGGAAGAAGUUGCAGAACAGUGGAGAUCCCACCGCCAUUCAGCCAUGAUGGAGGACGUGUUUUCAGACACAGCCCACUCCUCCUGCCAAUUUGCUGGGGUUGCAGAAGAAAGAGGAGGAAGAGGAGAAGGAGGAGUGGCCAGUGGUGGUGGUUGCUCUGACUGCAGCAGCUGUGGAGGCCCUGCUAAUACAGUAACUUCCUUAUCUCAGGAAACCCAAGUGGCUCCAACAAGAGAAACAGAGUAGGACAAUCCAGGAGAAGACAGCUGACUGCAGUGUUUACUAGACUGCGGAAUAGACAACUUGCAUUGUUAAAAUUGAUCAGAACAUGUUCCACUGGAACUAAGCAGAUAAGAAUUACUUCAUUCUUUUUUGCCCCUGAGCACCCUAGGAGACCUGUGUUGGAUCUGGGCUUUGUCUGCUUGAAAAAGUGGAAGGGUUGACCUGCUGAAUGGAGAACCACUAAAGCGCUCCAACAUUACUAUGGUCUUAUAAUGCCUGAGACAGAUCACAAGAUUAACUCUUAUAAUCAACAACAAGAUCAUCAAUUUGUACACUAUAUAAAUUAAAGUGCAUGCAUAUAAAUCUGCAACCUUGAAUAAUACUGUAACAGCUUCUGCUUUGUUUGUUUUGUGCAGCUUCUUGCUUUGACCAUUUCUUGCUUUGACCAUGAAUAUGCCUGCUGGGUCUGGUGCAUGAAAUCCCUUCCAAGUCCUCCCUUUUGCUUCACGAUGAUGCAGAAGGUGACUCUUCAGUAAGUAACACAAAAUGAUUUUAGACUUGUAUAAAUAAUAUACACGUUCUGUCUCCCUUUGAUUGAAUGAUGAAUAGCAUUUAGAGCGAUUGAUUUGCCGGCAGGAGCACUCGGCGGUGGCUGGAACAGCUUGUUCUGCCCUUGGAUCUCCCAAAUGAGUUCCGCAUCUCCCGCAGCUUGGUCUUCUGGUGCUCCUCCAGCACUGCACAAGUGCUUGGCCUUGGCUUGGUCACCUUGCCCCAACACACCCGUGUCUCAUGUCCCUGCCUGCCCAAAACGCCUUGCACGGCAGCUCGAUCUGCUGCUUAGAUGGCACCCUCUUUAUUUUCUUUGAUAUUUAACAGAAAAUAAUUCUGCAGUGAGCUUUAUUUAAGCAGCAGGAUAGAUUAAAAAAUGAAAUAUGUUUAGCAAGAUUUGGGGGAAAGGCUGGAGUAAUUAAUUUUCAAUAAUACCUGGCAUUUCUAGAACUCCUUUCAUCCCGAGAUCACCAAACAGUUUACAGACAUUAAUUAAUUAAAGCAUUAUGAUGCCCCAGUGUGGGGCCAUUGCCUGCGUGUCUGACUCAGACAAACUCUCCCCAAAUCCCCGGACGGGCAAGCGCUGUGCACUGCGGUGUCUGCACCAGAACUAUACCCAGGAGUAAAUACUGCUCAGCUUUCCUAAGGUUUGCACUCUGUGGCCCUACGUAAAUAUUUUCCAGUGAGUUUGAUUAUUUGUCUUUUAUUCUCUAUCAGGAAAGCCCCAAAUAUCUCAGUAAUAAAAUUUCCAGCGUGUGUGUGUGCAGGAGGACAGUUCUGAUGGUUAUUUUUUUGAUUCAGCUUCACAUUAAAAUAUCUCUGUUCUUGAAACUCCCAUUGCAGGCUCAGAGCUGGACAUGUAUUUUAAGGUUUGAUUUUGGAGUGAGCUUGCUGGGCAUUUUUGACAGCACAGUAAAUUCCAUGGGAAGAGAAGAGGUGUUCAAUGUUCACCCAGAGGGAUGCGCAUAGCGUCACACUCCUGGAAAUCACCCUGAAGUACAAGUUCAGUGAAAUCUUAUGAAAGCUGUAGAUUAUACAAACUUUCAUCACUCCAAUGAUUUGAUUCAUGAACGCAUAAAUAGAUAGAUAGAUAGAUCCAUCAAGGAAAUCCCAAGGGAACAAUGCAAUGGUGUUUGUGAUUGGAAAAAUAUUAUAAAAGAGCUCACGUAGAGCCAAUAGUUAGGCAGUUUUGUAGCGCCAAGAUAAAUAGAGAAGAAAUAGCAUUUCAUGAUCACAUUUUUAAAGGAUGUUGGAAGUUACCAAAGCAGGGGAAAUCCUGUAGGGAUUGCCUAUACUCAGGUGUGUUCCCUUGUGGUUCUGCCACUGGCCGGCCACCUGUGGCCCCAGUGCUGCCCCAGGACUAUGGAAUAAUGAGAUGGCACUUCGUACAUGGGCAAUGCUCUCGUAUGAAGGGUUUGAUCUCAUCUCUCAGCCAUUCAGACACUGGAUGAUGUUCCCAUUUGCCAUAAGACCUUCCAGUUCAGCUGGGAUAUUCAGCAGCUGUCUCCUGGAUCAGUCCUGAAGGAUGCAUUUGUAACAGAAGAAUGGAAAAAAUGAACUGAUUUUUUGUUGUCCACUUUCCUCCUGGAUUGGCUAUUUUCAUAUAAACCAAAUGAAAAUUGAUAGCAGCAUGGAAGUCCCUUUCACUCCAGGUUACCAGGCUAGCAUCUAGCCAGAGGUUGGGCUGGUUAAGUCUGCCGCUUCUAAUUUUUUAUUUAUUCCAACUUUGUAUUUAUUCCAACUCAACACUGGGGUGAAAAAAAAAAAAAAGAGGCCACUCAUUGGCAGAGACAGGAAUUGGAGGAAAUGCUAGGCAAGUGCUACAGCACCUUGGUGUCCCAGCAGCUCCCACUGGGAGGGCAUCACCCAGUGUGCUCGGCAUGGAGCCACAUGGAAGUGUGUGGAUAUAGAAGUGCCCAUGUGUGCUAGGGAAGGUGCUGUUCCAAGCAGGAAGCUCCAGCGGAUGGUGGGACACUGCUGGCUUGUUGACUGUGUGGAAAGCGUAUCACUGGGGAGCACCACGACGAGGAGGUAUGAGCAAAAAUUCUUAAAUAAACACAAGUGACAUUUGGCAUAUAAAUAAGAUAGGGAAUACUCUUGCACAAGCAGCACAGGUCAACAGCUAUCUUUUAUCUCCCAGAGUAAAAUAGGUUGCUUUAGAAAUAUAAAAGCACAAAGUAGUUGUGGAAGGGGUGGUGGAAGGCCCCGGCUGGUGCUGCUGCGGGCACUGGUGCUGCCCUUGAUGGCACAACUCGGCCCCUGGCUGGGCGCCUCUGCAACUUCCCUGCUUGAUUUUUUUCCUUGCAUCUGAUUAAUGCAUAACAAGUCCCUUCAGAGAGUAAAUACUGAUCUGAAAUAGCACAGUAAACAAAUAACACGGGAACAGGCUUCGAGUGUCUAUGUACAUACGUCUAUAAAAUGCAUCGCAUACGCACGCGUGCCCACGUUGUUAUUGUGUAGGUUAGCUAAGGGGAUUUACCUCCUUUUUAAUAUUUUUGAAGACUGCUUUAUGAUCCUGUUGACCCGCUAUUAGCAAAAGCUUAGCUUUCAACAAAGGUAAUUAAAUUAUAAAAUCACUGCUGCAAUCAUCAAACUACUCAUAAAACAAGAAAUGAAAAAAAAAAAAUACCCUGAAAUAAAAAUCUUGCAGGCUUCUCCUCGUGUAAUAUUGCUCCCUGAUGUUAAUUACAUUUAAAUGGGAGAGUACUAUUUUGGUAUCAUUCAUACGCCUCCAAAAGUACUUUCCAGUUUAUCAUACCUGUCAACCCCAGUGCAUCACAGGCUAAUACUUUAUUAAGAAAAAAAUCAUUAGGGAGCUGCUGAUCCCAUUUAAGUACAUUGGGCAGAAUGUAAGACUAAUUAAAAAGCAUAUUUUUACAUUAUUAAUUUCUGAGUUUCACACUUAAUGAAUGUGAAAUGACAGGGCUACUAUUUUUAUAUUCAGGCUCUCUGGGCUCUUCAGCCAGGGGAAUUAAAUUCUGGGGAUUUUUGCAAAGAUGCUUCUUGGGAGAUUUGUUUUCAAGAACAGCUAAGCUUUUUUAGCUAUGCCUUUUUCUGGGAAAUUAUACCAAAGCAUAUUACAGCCACUUAAAAAGAGUGGUUAAAUAGAUGUUGUGUUGGGUUGUUUUUUUUUUUUUUUUUUUUCCAUCGUGCUGCUAUAAAAGUAUUUUAGAUGAGGUAUAAAAUAUGGUUUUUAAAUGAUAUUAUGAUUUGCAAACACUAAAAAAUAAUUGCGGUGGAGUUGAGAGAGAGCGAAAACAUCUAAUCUUUAUUGUGUAAGACAAUGUGAUAAAAUAUUUUACAGCCAAAAGCUCAUUUUGCAUCUGGAAAAUUGUGCAAACUGAUGGGGGGAAAAAAUCUCAUUAAAACUAAAGGUUAUUUUUAAUAUUCCUCAAACAAAGCAACGCAUUAUAACCGCAUUUCUCCUCCGCGUAUUUAUUAAAUCAGACAAUUGUACGAAUGUCUGACGCUCUAUUUAAAUAAAGACAUAAAACGGCAGAGGCCGUGUGAUCAGGCAGGCUGAGCUGGAUUUAUACCGGCUUUUAGAGACCACCGGAGUCAAAGCACAGCACCGGUGUUGGAGGGGUUUGCUUGUUUGUGCUGAGCAGUCGCAGCAUUACGGUUGUUAUUAAGCAGGAGGGGUUGCGGUAGUGGAACCUGUGCGGGGUGAGGUUGGCACUGCCGUCCCUGCAAGCACGACACAGCACAGCUCACUUUUAUAGGGCUGUGCAAGGAGGAGUGGAGAAAAGCUUUUUUCCUCCCCCCCCCCCCCCCCUUCUUUUUUUUUUUUUUCCUCUCUCCAAAUGUGCUUACAAUUACCUCUCUGUAUUUUUAUUGUCUUUUUACUAACCACAAAACUCACACUGGAGGCAAAGCUUAACGGCUGAGGCUUUCCUCAUGUAAAUAUUAGGAAAUUACAUUUGUACAAACUGCGCGGCUUUGUAAAGGGGGCUGGAGCCACUCCAACACAAAUUAAUCAGGAUAAAGUUGCUCUAUGUUCAACAUGACCAUAGUUUAUUUUCUUAAAGUAUUAAUUUGUCAACAGCUUUCCUGCCUCGCUGUGACUCAUAUGGAUGGCAUUGAGGGAAGACACAGAUGCAAUCUUGCUGCUAUACCUUGUGGCCUUAGGAAUGAGCUCUGGUUAAUCAAAACGUGAUUGUGUUUAAUUUCUCAAUAUAUGUUUCCAUACAAAAGUCGAACGGCUGAGAUAGGAAUGCAAACCAAUGUUUAAAUAUUGUCUUCCCUUAAAAAAAGAAGGAAAAAAAAGAGAAAAAAAAAAAAAAAGGAAAAGUGUGAAACUAUUUUAACUGUUUACUAAAUGCUUUGUGUUACUUUGUACUUUUAGGUCCUUCCCUCCUCUGCUGCCUCCCCCCUCAGACCCAAAUAAACAAAUAAGCGCUGCCAAGAGCUUUUCAGCUGGUGUCCUUUGCUGCCUUCCCUCCUCAGCCAUCCCCUGCGCUGAAAGCAAUGCUUUCCAGCACGUCUCUUCUCAUUCUUCUGCCUUUGCUCGCUGGUUGUUAUAUCACACUAUUUUUAAUUAUAUCUUGAUUUUCGUAACAUUAUUGUACGUUGUUAUGUUUCUAGAAUGCAAACGUGAGCGUAAUGGGAUCUAUUUUUCAGAGUUGCCAAAACAAAUUAAGGAAAACGCUCGGCUCUUCCUUUGCCAAAUGUUUUAGUGCUUUUCCGUGAAAGCAAAUCUUAUUUCUAACUGUAUAUUAAGCCUUAAGUAAAUAAUGCAGUCUGUCAGAAGCAAAUUCUAUUGUAAAAGCAGUAACUGUUCCCAGGCUUUGCCUGUGAUGCCCGCACGCUGCUCUGCCCGGGAAGGACUGGGCUAGCAAUGAAUUACUGCUCAUUUCAAUCUGCCUUUCACAGAAACGUCUAACUUUUUUGUUUACACUGGACCCAGAUCCCAUAAAUAUGGAGUAUCUGUUGCGGCCGCUCCACGUCUGCCCAGCUGACAUGGUUUGAGGUCCACUGUGAACCAAUCUGGACUUUUUUUUUACCGUCAUAUCCAUCAAAACGACCAGUAGCCAUCAACCUACUGCAGCGAUCGAUUCGUUUGCUUAUUCUCACGCAUAAGCCAAUACUCAGCUCACUAGGUGAGGCUUGGGAGAAGCACCUCAUUUUAGCUUUUUUUCCCCCCUCUUUCUUUCUUUCUUUCCCUUUUUUUUUUUUUUUUUUUUUUUUCCUUUUGCCUCCAGCUACAGCUGUGAUUUUCUGAGCAGUCUUGGCUAACGUUAUUAAAGUUGCAUCAUGAUAGAUAUAGAGCAGAGCAGAUAACAGUCUCCACGCACAACAACAGAAAAAUAAUAACAACCGUGGGUUUCGCUGUUGUUGUCAGUGUUGCUUUUCAGGUGUACUGAGACGCUUGCUAAGCUCGGAGUUUCCAACUCAUUGCUUAUUUUGCAAAGUAAACAAGCAAAUGUUAUGUGCAUAACCUUAGCUGUCUCUGCAAAGGUCAGUGUGUGGCUGCUAAUUUCUUCUCCUGCCUUUUGGUGGCACUCUGAUGCCAGCGAUUACUUCUGGCGUGUUUGGGAAACAAGACGUCCUUUCUUAACAAAAGACUCAAUCUACAAAGGCCGCAAAACAAAAAUUGAUUAAAGUUGAACCGUAGUAUGAAAGUUUACUUCGGUGUAUCAAAUAGCCCGGUAAGCACUACAUAGCAGCUCAUCUGUAACGGGGGCCAUGGGGUGUCACUGGGCGCAACUGGGACUGCAUGGACAGCUGAACUCCAUGAUUUUGACUAGAGGUGACAGCUGAAAAGCACCAGAAACCCUUGGAAUUUCAGAUCUAUAUAUUACUAUAAAGGAAGAAAAUAAAGUUCCGCUAGUAGAAGACCUUGGAAGGGUGUGUGUCCUGAACAAUUUCCAUUGUGGAGAAACGCAACAAAUAACAAAGUGCAGUCAAAGCUAGCCCUGCUCCGUGAUGAAUUUCAAGGAGCGUGACCAAUAAUCUUCUACUUAUCUUAAAAACCCUAUGGAAGUACUAGACCAGUUCCAACAGAAGUGAGAGCAAACUGUGGGAAAAAAAAAAACCCUCACAAAAAAGCCAUCUGUCUGAGAACAACCCGAGAAUCCUAAGUCCACCCAAGUAGUCACUGCGUGUUUUUCUGCACUGCUAAUGGAUUGCAUAUUGUUGAAAAUAUGAAUUACAGAAUAAAUCAGGAGAGAGUGACAAUUACGGGUCCGAUUCUGUUCUUGGCUGCGGUGGCAUUAUUGACCUAAUGUUGUUUUCUGCUAUUGUGGGGCACAUUGGAUAAUUAUCCAAUUUAAGAACAACUCCAGACCGAAGGAGUAAAUGGGAGCUGUCUGAAGGCAGGGACUGCCAGAGGAGCCAGGCUGACAGUCGGUGAGGUUCAGACCACUGUAGGCUGUGGAUUUUCCCAAAGCUUUAUACGCUGCUAUUAACUCUGCCACAUAUACUCCAUGGUAUGAAAUACAUGUCUUAAAUAU
ensembl:lncRNA